rnacentral:rRNA from 1 species
ACACUCCUACGGGAGGCAGCAGUGGGGAAUUUUGGACAAUGGGGGCAACCCUGAUCCAGCAAUGCCGCGUGAGUGAAGAAGGCCUUCGGGUUGUAAAGCUCUUUUGUCAGGGAAGAAACGGUGGUGGCGAAUAACUACUACUAAUGACGGUACCUGAAGAAUAAGCACCGGCUAACUACGUGCCAGCAGCCGCGGUAAUACGUAGGGUGCAAGCGUUAAUCGGAAUUACUGGGCGUAAAGCGUGCGCAGGCGGUUGUGUAAGUCAGAUGUGAAAUCCCCGGGCUCAACCUGGGAAUUGCAUUUGAGACUGCACGGCUAGAGUGUGUCAGAGGGGGGUAGAAUUCCACGUGUAGCAGUGAAAUGCGUAGAUAUGUGGAGGAAUACCGAUGGCGAAGGCAGCCCCCUGGGAUAACACUGACGCUCAUGCACGAAAGCGUGGGGAGCAAACAGGAUUAGAAACCCCUGUAGUCCCAUG